AGAGUUUGAUCCUGGCUCAGGAUGAACGCUGGCGGCGUGCUUAAUACAUGCAAGUCGAACGAAGACAGUAGCAAUAUUGUCUGAGUGGCGAACGGGUGAGUAACGCGUUGGUGACCUGCCUCGAAGAGAGGGAUAACAGUCCGAAAGGAUUGCUAAUACCCCAUGUGGUCGUUUGGAUUAGAUGCCUUAUGACUAAACGGAUUUAUUCGCUUCGAGAGGGGCCUGCGUCCCACCAGCUAGUUGGUAAGGUAAUGGCCUACCAAGGCGAUGACGGGUAGGGGACCUGAGAGGGUGGCCCCCCACAAUGGAACUGAAACACGGUCCAUACACCUACGGGUGGCAGCAGUAGGGAAUAUUGGUUAAUGUGCGAAAGCGCGAACCAGCAACGCCGCGUGUGCGAUGAAGGCCUUCGGGUCGUAAAGCACUUUUUGCAGGGACGAGGAAGGACGGUACCUGCAGAAUAAGUCUCGGCUAACUACGUGCCAGCAGCCGCGGUAAAACGUAGGAGACGAGCGUUAUCCGGAUUUACUGGGCGUAAAGCGCGUGCAGGCGGCAUGGCAAGUUGGAUGUGAAAGCUCCCGGCUUAACUGGGAGAGGUCGUUCAAUACUGCCAAGCUUGAGAGUGGUAGAGGGAAGCGGAAUUCCGGGUGUAGUGGUGAAAUGCGUAGAUAUCCGGAGGAACACCAGUGGCGAAAGCGGCUUCCUGGCCCAUUUCUGACGCUCAGACGCGAAAGCUAGGGUAGCAAACGGGAUUAGAGACCCCGGUAGUCCUAGCUGUAAACGAUGGAUGCUAGGUGUGGGGGGGUUUCCCUCUGUGCCCCCCCUAACGCCAAUAAGCUUCCCCCCGGGGGAGUUAGAAUUGCAGAUUGAAACUCCAAGGAAUUUAACGGGGGCC
rnacentral:rRNA from 1 species